rnacentral:rRNA from 1 species
GACGAACGCUGGCGGCGUGCUUAACACAUGCAAGUCGAACGAUGAUCUCCCGCUUGCGGGGGUGCUUAGUGGCGAACGGGUGAGUAAUACGUGAGUAACCUGCCCUUCACUCUGGGAUAAGCCUGGGAAACCGGGUCUAUUACUGGACACUACUUCCUGCCGCAUGGUGGGGGGUGGAGAGGGUUUUACUGGUUUUGGAUGUGCUCGCGGCCUAUCAGCUUGUUGGUGGAGUAAUGGCUCACCAAGGCGACGGCGGGUAGCCGGCGUGGGAGGGUGACCGGCAACAGUGAGACUGAGACAGGGCCCAGACUCCGACGGGAGGCGGCAGUAGUGGAGGGUGCAAUAGGGGCGGGAGCGUGAGGCAGAGACACCGAGGGAGGGAGGACGGCGUUCGGGUUGGAGUCCUAAUGCAGCAGUAAAGGAGCUGAUAGUGACGGUACCGGCAGAAGAAGCGCCGGCUAACUACGUG